UUAAACUAAAGAGUUUGAUCCUGGCUCAGAUUGAACGCUGGCGGCAUGCCUUACACAUGCAAGUCGAACGGCAGCACGGAGCUUGCUCUG
rnacentral:rRNA from 1 species